UACGAAGGGGGGCUAGCGUUGCUCGGAAUGACUGGGCGUAAAGGGCGCGUAGGCGGCUUGCACCGUCAGAUGUGAAAUUCCUGGGCUUAACCUGGGGGCUGCAUUUGAUACGUGUGGGCUUGAGUGCGGAAGAGGGUCGUGGAAUUCCCAGUGUAGAGGUGAAAUUCGUAGAUAUUGGGAAGAACACCGGUGGCGAAGGCGGCGCUCUGGACCGAGACUGACGCUGAGGCGCGAAAGCGUGGGGAGCAAACAGG
rnacentral:rRNA from 1 species